GCGCGACGCUUGUCGAGAAGGACGCGACUCGUGCUGUAACUCGCGAUCCGGUCAUUUCGCAUCGCCGUAAGGGGGAGGAGGAGAUGGCGGAGAACUGCGGAGGGAGAUCAAGGCGACCUCGAACUAAGGCGAGGAUGGAGGGUUUGGUCUUGUUCGAUGCAGGAAAGUGAAGAGAUCUUCGUCGAAUUGGUGGUUGAAGGAUCAUUGUGUAUCUGUGUUCCCAUGCUGUGCUAGUGAAGUUUGACAAGCGAAGUGCUCUUUCCACAUUAUAGCCUUCACGGGUCCCCGACUAUGCCUUAGAAGAGGUUCGCUUACCCUACGAGCACAAUAAGGUUAAGCGUCAAGCACAUAUAUAUGUAUCCGGUGGGUUAGUGAGGCAUAAAGAAUGCCCCCUACCUUCGCAUAUCGCACUUGAUCCAUGAGUCAGACUCUAUAAUUCGCAUAUGGGCGGACUUGGCCCGUUUUCCGCUUCGUAGUUUAUUUUACUUUUGUUUUUAUCAUAUGUAGUAAGUAAAUUAGAGAAAUAGAACACAAUAAACUCAUGUUCUUUUUUCGGUCAUAUGUGAAUGAUAUGACUUCUAAUUUUUUUGUGAUA